rnacentral:rRNA from 1 species
CUGGCUCAGGAUGAACGCUAGCUACAGGCUUAACACAUGCAAGUCGAGGGGCAGCAUGGUCUUAGCUUGCUAAGGCUGAUGGCGACCGGCGCACGGGUGAGUAACGCGUAUCCAACCUUCCCCUUAGUAGGGCAUAGCCCGGCGAAAGUCGGAUUAAUACCCUAUGUUUUCCAAUGAGGACAUCUGAGCUGGAACAAAGAUUGAUCGCUAAGGGAUGGGGAUGCAUCUGAUUAGGUAGUAGGCGGGGUAACGGCCCACCUAGCCUACGAUCAGUAGGGGUUCUGAGAGGAAGGUCCCCCACAUUGGAACUGAGACACGGUCCAAACUCCUACGGGAGGCAGCAGUGAGGAAUAUUGGUCAAUGGGCGCGAGCCUGAACCAGCCAAGUAGCGUGCAGGAUGACGGCCCUAUGGGUUGUAAACUGCUUUUAUGCGGGGAUAAAGUGAGGGACGUGUCCCUUUUUGUAGGUACCGCAUGAAUAAGGACCGGCUAAUUCCGUGCCAGCCGCAGC